rnacentral:tRNA from 1 species
GCAUCAGCUUGGAAGCGGAUCGUCUAGACCGGGCAUUGCGCUCCGAAGGCGAAGGCCACACGUUCGAAUCGUGUCGGGUGCGCCA